CUACCAGGCAACCCCAAAGGAAGUCCCCACCUCAGCAAAGCUAGCAGGAGCCACAGGAAGCUGCUGUAGGCAUCUCAAACAAGACCUCCAGUACCUGGAUCUCUCAAUGAAAACUGGACUACACAGAGAGAUUCUCCCCCUCCAUAUCACUGCACCUGGGAGAUAAGCGUCCAAUAUUCCAGGGGAGAGGGGAGCAAAGAUCCUUUUGGAGCCAGAAGACCCUUCCAGAGUUUAACAAUGUGUAGAUCUGGCACAAAGAUCACUUGCUGGACCAUCCUGGAUAGAUAGGACACUAGUAUUCAGUACUGCAGCUAAAGAAUUAGCUCAACCUGUUUCAACAGUGAUACCUGCCAGGAAGCAACCUCCCUCCACAUGCAGAGCAAAGUCAGAAUCUUAUUUGUGGUGACUACAUUUAAGCCAACUGCCCUAGCAGCAUCUACACCAUUUCUGAGGAACUGACAGGCUACACUCUGAACCACUACAGCUCAAUGCACCGCCACCCUUUUCAACAGGAGAUGAAGGUCUGGCCCUGGCCUUUUAACAUAAAUGCUAUUCAU